rnacentral:rRNA from 1 species
UACGUAGGGUGCAAGCGUUAAUCGGAAUACUGGGCGUAAAGCGUGCGCAGGCGGUUUUGUAAGUUUGUCGUGAAAGCCCCGGGCUCAACCUGGGAAGUUGCGAUGAAGACUGCAAGGCUUGAAUCUGGCAGAGGGGGGUAGAAUUCCACGUGUAGCAGUGAAAUGCGUAGAGAUGUGGAGGAACACCGAUGGCGAAGGCAGCCCCCUGGGUCAAGAUUGACGCUCAUGCACGAAAGCGUGGGGAGCAAACAGG